rnacentral:pre_miRNA from 15 species
GUCCGUCUUUUACCGUGCGCGCUAAUCAGUGACCGGGGCUGGUUUCGAUUAUCUCACAGUCAGGUACCUGAAGUAGCGCGCGUGGUGGCUAGACG